AAGCUCUAAAUGGGAGGUAAAUUUCUUCUAAAGCUAAAUAUKGSCCAGAGACCGAUAGCGCACAAGUAGAGUGAUCGAAAGAUGAAAAGCACUUUGAAAAGAGGGUUAAAUAGCACGUGAAAUUGUUGAAAGGGAAGCGUUUGCGACCAGACCUUUUCCUGGCGGAUCAUCCGGUGUUCUCACCGGUGCACUUCGCCAGGUUUAGGCCAGCAUCGGUUUCCGCAGAGGGAUAAAAGCUCUGGGAACGUAGCUCCUUCGGGAGUGUUAUAGCCCUCUGCAUAAUACCUUUGUGGGGACCGAGGACCGCGCUUCGGCAAGGAUGCUGGCGUAAUGGUCGUCAACGACCCGUCUUGAAACACGGACCAAGGAGUCGAACAUUUGUGCGAGUGUUUGGGUGUUAAACCCUCACGCGUAAUGAAAGUGAACGGAGGUGAGAGCCUUUACGGGUGCAUCAUCGACCGAUCCUGAUGUCUUCGGAUGGAUUUGAGUAAGAGCAUAACUGUUCGGACCCGAAAGAUGGUGAACUAUGCGUGGAUAGGGUGAAGCCAGAGGAAACUCUGGUGGAGGCUCGCAGCGGUUCUGACGUGCAAAUCGAUCGUCAAAUCUGCGCAUGGGGGCGAAAGACUUAUCGAACCAUCUAGUAGCUGGUUACCGCCGAAGUUUCCCUCAGGAUAGCAGUGUUGUUCUUCAGUUUUAUGAGGUAAAGCGAAUGAUUAGGGACUCGGGGGCGCUUUUUAGCCUUCAUCCAUUCUCAAACUUUAAAUAUGUAAGAAGCCCUUGUUACUUAGUUGAACGUGGGCAUUCGAAUGUACCAACACUAGUGGGCCAUUUUUGGUAAGCAGAACUGGCGAUGCGGGAUGAWCCGAACGCGGGGU
rnacentral:rRNA from 1 species